UCCAGCAGCAACUCAACACUGGCAACCCACUGAAGCUAAGCAGGUGUGUGCCUGGUCAGUACCUGCAUGGGAGACCUCCUGGGAAAAACUAAGGUUGCUGCUGGAA
rnacentral:rRNA from 1 species